AGGCAUUGUCGAUUAAGGAAAUCCAUUAUGGGUCACAUGCCACACCUGACCAGGUAACUGCAGCUGGUGAUCUAUGUGCUAUUUGCCAGGAGAAGAUGAAUGCACCAAUUUUGUUGCGUUGCAAACACAUCUUUUGUGAAGACUGUGUCUCAGAAUGGUUUGAUAGGGAAAGAACUUGCCCUUUGUGCAGAGCCUUGGUCAGACCUGCUGAUCUAAAAUCUUUUGGAGAUGGAUCGACUGGCCUUUUCUUCCAGUUAUUCUAAAUAUAGAUGUUACACCAGAGUGAAUAUCUUUCCGUGGUAGUGGCAUUAUCCUCGACUUGGCCUGUUCCUGAGUUAUGAAAUUACCUGAUUCUGGGGGUGUUGCCCUGUUAAGGUUUCCACAAGGAUGUUGCGUAAGAAUGGGCUGUGCUCUUGAUACAGUUUCUCUGAGGAUUUGGCGGGGAUGAGAGGAUGUCCUGAUCCAAUAUCAGUACAUAUUGUGCUUCAUUUUUUAAUACAGAAAAUAUUCGUGUAAUGUUAUGUAAUUCAUAAAAUUUAACCACAAGCAUUAAAAUUUUGUUUCCUUUUUCAGGCCAGUACAGUUCCUCAUCAUUAUUUCAACUUGAGAAAAAUUAAUAUCCUAGUAUAUUCCAUGUAUCAUACAGCACUAAUGAAAUACAAAUGAUGGUGAUGGGGCCGGUGAGACUCGCGUCUUUAUUGGCUAUCACGAGGCAGCCCUGUGAUCAAUUUCCAGACCUCUGGGCUCUGGCUGAUCCUUCCCAGAGAGAUAUGUUAUGAAUAGUUUGUACAUUGGAUGCUCAUGUUGUGAAUAACUUAAAGAUUAAAUUUUCUACUUUAUGUCCA